UACGGAGGGGGCUAGCGUUGUUCGGAAUUACUGGGCGUAAAGCGCACGUAGGCGGCUUUGUAAGUUAGAGGUGAAAGCCCGGAGCUCAACUCCGGAAUUGCCUUUAAGUCUGCAUCGCUCGAAUCAUGGAGAGGUGAGUGGAAUUCCGAGUGUAGAGGUGAAAUUCGUAGAUAUUCGGAAGAACACCAGUGGCGAAGGCGACUCACUGGACAUGUAUUGACGCUGAGGUGCGAAAGCGUGGGGAGCAAACAGG
rnacentral:rRNA from 1 species